rnacentral:lncRNA from 1 species
AGAGCAGCAUGUUCCCUCUUGGUUUUCCACACUUCAUCCUAGUUCUUCUGUUUUCCUUUAAAACCAGAUCUCUCCCUUGGUCAGUCAUUAGCAUUCCACAGAAGUUAAGUAAAUUGAAAACACACACCACUGCCACAGGGCUGCGAGGGAAGGAAAUCGCACGCCCAACCAAUUCUUUGCACACGCACGAAGGGCUGGGAAUCUUGUCCAUCUCUUCUCCACAGACCUCACUAGUCCGAAUCAAGUCACAGAUCGCCUUGGAUUGACUGGAGUGGGUGUCCCAAAAGGNCUUCCAAAGAUUUAGCUGGAAGACGCCUGGCAGAGAAGAUUCCCAGCGCUGACUUUGAACUGCAUCAGAGACGCUGAAAAGCAGGCUGUGUCGCUUGUCCACCGGUGGACGCUUGACUGAAGACGGUGUGGAGCUUUGCUAUGCUUUCAAGGAGGUUGCUUUGCGUCUGGAGCCUGCUGCAGGGACUCUGUGUUCUGACACCUAUCCNUCUGGCUCACACCAUGGAAAAUAUCAGAUGGGAGGAUGCUGCUGUGGAGAUGGAGAUAGAAGAAGCUCAGCAGCCCCCAGAGGAACAUGGGGCGCAGUCUCCAAACCCAAAUUAUUGUGGCGUCACAUUUGACAUCCCCUGGUCUGGUAGUUCAUGCACACCAGCAAUGCAGGAGUCUCCACCAGCCACUCAAGAAGAGCUGGACCAUCUCAAGGCCCUGUUGGCCGACACUGGUGGGGUGCUGAAGAAAAUUGAAGAUACUGCCGCUCUGGAGGCCGGGAAGUCCAGAUACCAGGACAUUGUUUCCGAAGCUCUUCCAGANGUGAGGGAGGCCAACGUGGCGCUCCAUGAGAUCCUGGGGAAGUUCUUGCAAGAGCUGGAGGACCACAUCCAAGUGGACGAUCAUCCACACGUGGCCGAUGAGAAGAAGAAGCUAAACGAGCACUUGCAGAUAAUGGACCGCAUGCUUCAGGUCACUGGCCGUCUCGCUGAGCAGUUGGACCAGGCCUCCCGAAGCCUCCUGAGGACCCUGAACCAACCCUUGGAGAAAGCCCCGGCACUCAUGUACAGCCAGGCUCCGGGGCCAUCUUAGCUGCAGCCAUCUUCCCACUCUGAAAGCAUUAAAAAGCUG